AUUGAACGCUAGCGGGAUGCCUUACACAUGCAAGUCGAACGGAGUGGCGAACGGGUGAGUAAUGUAUCGGAACGUGCCCAGUAGCGGGGGAUAACUACGCGAAAGCGUAGCUAAUACCGCAUACUAUUGGAGCGGCCGAUAUCGGCUUAGCUAGUUGGUGGGGUAACGGCUCACCAAGGCGACGAUCCGUAGCUGGUUUGAGAGGACGAUCAGCCACACUGGGACUGGUACACGGCCCAGACUCCUCAGGGAGGCAGCAGUAGGGAAUUUUGGAAAAUAGGGGAAACCCUGAUCCAGCCAUCCCGCGUGUUCGAUGAAGGCCUUCGGGUUGUAAAGCACUUUUGGCAGGAAGGCGGUACCUGCAGAAUAAGCACCGGCUAACUACGUGCCAGCAGCCGCGGUAAUUC
rnacentral:rRNA from 1 species